GCACUUUUUCAAUCCCUAGGAAGGAGAGAGCGCGAGACAAGACGGGACAUCCUACAAAGCCUAACAUUUCUGCCAAUAUUACAGGAUGGACAGCUUAGGAUACCACACGGAGGGGGGGUGAAGGAGCCUUGGGGAUGCCUGAAGGAGGGGCAGUGAAGGAGGGUGGCCUGGAGGUGAAGGAAAUGCAGAAAAUUCCUCUAAUACUGAGCGCUUCUCUAGUCAGACCAUCCUUCACUGAAUAUUUGGACCGAGGCUUCAAGAUACGAGUGAGCCAGGCGACCCUCCAGAACAGCGCCAUCCUGCCCACUUGUGGUGUGGCAGCCCUGAUCGUACCCCUCCCUCCCUCCUCCUCCUCCUCCUCCUCCAGCAAAGAAGAGACCUUUGACCAGCUGGUGGACAGGGUCCGCGCCUUUAGCCGAGUACACGCGGGGGGCGUUGUAAUACUGGUGGGUGCUGUGUUUGGCAUGGAGGAGGUGAACGGGGUGUUGGGGAAAUUAUCAAGGAGGUUACUACCACGCCCUCCCCUGCUACUGCCUGCCCACGGGGAAGCCCAGGCUGCCGCGCACAUACAACUACUGGCAAAGAAGUAGCGGCGGGGCUGGAAGUGGGCGGGAGUUUAGCAGGCUUCGCUAAGAUUGGGCUGGAAGUUAACGGAGGAGGAGGCGCGGCACGUGACUAUGCAAUACAGGGCUUACAGAGGGCAGGCGUGACUGGGCCCUGCCUCGCCGCCCUUGUCAACACCUUAGAGAGAGAUACGCUCACCUUGUAGAGAGAGAGAGAGAGAGAGAGAGAGAGAGAGAGAGAGAGAGAAUAUAUUUUAAUUUUCUUUCGUUAUAUAUUCAAUUUAUUUAUUUAUUUAUUAUUUUAACGGUUAUUUUCUUUUCUCUUUUUCGUUUCGUUUUUUUUUUUAUGGAAUGUUGAAUUUUACCUAUAUUUGUUUACAUUUUUUUUUUAUCAAUUUCUUUCGAUUUUAUAUUCAGUUCAUUUAUUUAUCUUUAUUGUUUUAAGACCAUUUAUUUAUUUUAUUUAUUUUUUCGUUCAUUUUCAUAAUGGGAAUAUUUACUUUUAUAUAUAUUUUUCAAUUAUUUUUCAUUUCUUCGAUUUAAGUGUGUCUAAGUACUUGCAAGGAUCAUUUAUUUAUUUAUUUACUUUUAUUUUCCGUCCGUUUUUAUUUAUUUAUUUAUUUAUUUAUUUAUCUUUUUCUAUAAUGGAAACUUAUUUCAUCUUUUUUCCCGUUUUCUGUUACUUGUUCAUGCCAGGGGUGACAAUAAACAUUAAGAUUA